GGAGACCUGUAUGAACGGCAAAACCUUUUCAAACUGUCUCCCUCCCUAACCUUUUAAACUCCUUUUUACGCGAAGAAGCGUGAAUACAUCAGAAAGACGAGAAGACCCUGUCGAGCUUCAGCCAAUAAGUGAGCCAACAAAACCUAUGUGUUAGCAUCACCCAAAGGCUUUGGUUGGGGUAACCAUGGAGAACACUAAUCCUCCAGAACAAGCAGACGAACUCUCUUCCCUACUAAACGAGCUAAAGAACCAGGAACUGGUAAUCGGAAAAAGUUACCGCAGGGAUAACAGCGUCAUCCCCUUUAAGAGUCCUUAUUGACAAGGGGGUUUGCGACCUCGAUGUUGGAUUGGGGCCCCCUUAGGGUGCAGAAGCUCUAAACGGUUAGACUGUUCGUCUAUUAAAGCCCUACGUGAUCUGAGU
rnacentral:rRNA from 1 species